UCAUAGAGAGGCCGGUCACCAGCUGGACCCCCAACUCUGUGAUGGUCACUUUUUCAUCCACUACUGUGAUAGUCUUCUCUGCCAGGAUUGAGUCUGAUAAAGGAGACAACACCUUGGAGGAAAAAGAAGACAAUGAAGAGAAAGAUAAAUGGGAAAGGAUCAGCACUGCAAUGCUGAAGGAAUUUUAAAGGAAGAAGAUGAAGAAUUUUAUUCCACAGUACUCCCCUCAAACACUUUAUUGUCCAGCAAUAACCUGUGACAUUCAGAGCUGGAGAGGUUUUCCCAGGAGAAAUCAGCAGUGACAGCAACCAGAGCUGAACGGUGAACGAGAGCGCUACCUAUAGAAACUUCAUCAACAGAAAAUCCAAGCAGAAGUUCCCACUGGUCACACUGCUUGAUUGACAAGUAAUCUAGAGGAAAGGCACACUUUAACCCCAAAACAGAAGUAGGAAGUCUAACCACAUUUAUGAUAAACGCCAUGUGCAGUUUGUGACUUUCUCUGCCUGCACGUCUUUAUAAAUGUCUUAUCAUGCAAGAGCCUGUGCGGUGCGUGGCUCAGGUAGUCACCGCUGUCAGACCUUUGCACUCGUCAUG